UACGCAGGGGGCUAGCGUUGCUCGGAUUUACUGGGCGUAAAGGGCGCGUAGGCGGACAGUUAAGUUGGGGGUGAAAGCCCGGGGCUCAACCUCGGAAUUGCCUUCAAUACUGGCUGUCUUGAGUGUGAGAGAGGUGUGUGGAACUCCGAGUGUAGAGGUGAAAUUCGUAGAUAUUCGGAAGAACACCAGUGGCGAAGGCGACACACUGGCUCACUACUGACGCUGAGGCGCGAAAGCUAGGGGAGCAAACAGG
rnacentral:rRNA from 1 species